UACGGGGGGUGCAAGCGUUAAUCGGAAUGACUGGGCGUAAAGGGUGCGUAGGUUGUUAAGUAAGUUGUCUGUGAAAGCCCCGGGCUUAACCUGGGAAGGUCAGAUAAAACUGCUUGACUCGAGUAUGGGAGAGGGUGAGUGGAAUUUCCGGUGUAGCGGUGAAAUGCGUAGAAGAUCGGAAGGAACACCAGUGGCGAAGGCGACUACCUGGCCUAAUACUGACACUGAGACGAGAAGCUAGGGGAAGCAAAGCAGG
rnacentral:rRNA from 1 species